UACGGGGGGGAGCAAGCGUUGUUCGGAUUUACUGGGCGUAAAGGGCGCGUAGGCGGCCACCGCAAGUCGACUGUGAAAUCUCCGGGCUUAACCCGGAAAGGUCAGCCGAUACUGCGGGGCUAGAGUGCAGAAGGGGCAACUGGAAUUCUCGGUGUAGCGGUGAAAUGCGUAGAUAUCGAGAGGAACACCUGCGGCGAAGGCGGGUUGCUGGGCUGACACUGUCGCUGAUGCGCGAAAGCUAGGGGAGCGAACGGG
rnacentral:rRNA from 1 species